UGGGGGAUAUUGCACAAUGGGCGCAAGCCUGAUGCAGCAACGCCGCGUGCGGGAAGACGGCCUUCGGGUUGUAAACCGCUGUCCUUAGUGAAGAACACAAUGACGGUAGCUAUGGAGGAAGCCACGGCUAACUACGUGCCAGCAGCCGCGGUAAUACGUAGGUGGCAAGCGUUGUCCGGAUUUACUGGGUGUAAAGGGAGCGCAGGCGGGAAGUUAAGUUGGAUGUGAAAUACCGGGGCUCAACCCCGGAGCUGCAUCCAAAACUGAUUUUCUUGAGUGGAGUAGAGGUAAGCGGAAUUCCGAGUGUAGCGGUGAAAUGCGUAGAUAUUCGGAGGAACACCAGUGGCGAAGGCGGCUUACUGGGCUCUAACUGACGCUGAGGCUCGAAAGCGUGGGGAGCAAACAGG
rnacentral:rRNA from 2 species